AGACGUCGAUAUUCUGAGCCUGUUUUGAGGGGAGCUACCCACUCUAGUGUAUAGUACCGUAGUUGGAAUACUGGCCCCUCGUAUUCCCGUGUCUACUCGACCGAUAACCAUAUUAAGAUUCUGACUUUCCUACAGUUGACCAUGCAAUACCAUAAAUGACAAAUCAUUCGACUCCAAUAAUAUAACCAUGUUAGAUCGAACUUGCACUUAGCAUAAAACAUGUAACCAUAUAACACAUAACCAAAUAGCUAAUAAACACAUUCAAACCAUUUUCUCCCUUAGAGUUUCUUCUUCAAAUAACUCACAUAAUCGAUUCAAAUUGCAUAAAUAAACAUUCUUAUAAUUCACAUAUAUUAUGCAACGUACACGUACCACAUACCAGAGGUAUCACAUACAAGAGAAGGGGAUUAUCAUAUUAUUUCAUAUAACCACUUUCAUAAUUAUAACAUACCAACGUGAUUAUCUUAUAUGCAAUUCAUGCGUUUUCUAGGUUAUACAUUUAUGUUAACAUAUAAGCAUACGAUAAUCAUAAUAGCACUUACGCAUAUAAUAUAUGAAAUUCAAAUCCACAUUUUCUAUUCCAAAGAACUACAAGGAAAUCUGGCAGAUUCGGCACUUCAACUUUGGAAAUUCAUAUCUCUUAAACCGUACAUACAAACAUUAAUAAAUUUCCACAACACGUUCACAUAUAUGUGAUUUAUACCAUAUUAAAACAGUUCAGUAAAAUACCUAUCCAUGGGAAAGAAAUAAUUCAUUUAGUACAGUAACACCCGCAGAAUUUCAGAACAGAGCAUUCAACUUUAAAAAUACCAAUUAAAUCAUU
rnacentral:lncRNA from 1 species